rnacentral:rRNA from 1 species
GAUGAACGCUGGCGGCGUGCCUAAUACAUGCAAGUCGAGCGAACAGACGAGGAGCUUGCUCCUCUGACGUUAGCGGCGGACGGGUGAGUAACACGUGGAUAACCUACCUAUAAGACUGGGAUAAAUUCGGGAAACCGGAGCUAAUACCGGAUAAUCUAUUGAACCGCAUGGUUCAAUAGUGAAAGACGGUUUUGCUGUCACUUAUAGAUGGAUCCGCGCCGCAUUAGCUAGUUGGUAAGGUAACGGCUUACCAAGGCCACGAUGCGUAGCCGACCUGAGAGGGUGAUCGGCCACACUGGAACUGAGACACGGUCCAGACUCCUACGGGAGGCAGCAGUAGGGAAUCUUCCGCAAUGGGCGAAAGCCUGACGGAGCAACGCCGCGUGAGUGAUGAAGGUCUUCGGAUCGUAAAACUCUGUUAUUAGGGAAGAACAAAUGUGUAAGUAACUAUGCACGUCUUGACGGUACCUAAUCAGAAAGCCACGGCUAACUACGUG